GAUGAACGCUGGCGGCGUGCCUAAUACAUGCAAGUCGAGCGAACGGACGAGAAGCUUGCUUCUCUGAUGUUAGCGGCGGACGGGUGAGUAACACGUGGAUAACCUACCUAUAAGACUGGGAUAACUUCGGGAAACCGGAGCUAAUACCGGAUGAUAUUUUGAACCGCAUGGUUCAAAAGUGAAAGACGGUCUUGCUGUCACUUAUAGAUGGAUCCGCGCUGCAUUAGCUAGUUGGUAAGGUAACGGCUUACCAAGGCAACGAUGCAUGGCCGACCUGAGAGGGUGAUCGGCCACACUGGAACUGAGACACGGUCCAGACUCCUACGGGAGGCAGCAGUAGGGAAUCUUCCGCAAUGGGCGAAAGCCUGACGGAGCAACGCCGCGUGAGUGAUGAAGGUCUUCGGAUCGUAAAACUCUGUUAUUAGGGAAGAACAUAUGUGUAAGUAACUGUUCACAUCUUGACGGUACCUAAUCAGAAAGCCACGGCUAACUACGUG
rnacentral:rRNA from 1 species